CCUCAGGAAUGGUGUGGAAGAAAAAGACAGGAUAUCCCCAAAACACCUGGAUUGACUUUUUGAGAAAGUAUUUUGGUGGAAUGUUUGCUAAAGGCAGUGCUGGAGUCCAACCAGAACAAGGCAAGUAAUCCAGUUAAUUUAAGACUGUAGAAAGCUGAAGUAACUUCUUUA